GAAACUCGCCUACAUGAAGCUGGAGUUGCUAGUAAUCGCGAAUCAGCAUGUCGCGGUGAAUACGUUCCCGGGCCUUGUACACACCGCCCGUCACACCAUGAGAGUUGGCAAUACCCAACGUACGUGAUCUAACCCGCAAGGGAGGAAGCGUCCUAAGGUAGGGUCAGCGAUUGGGGUGAAGUCGUAACAAGGUACC
rnacentral:rRNA from 1 species